rnacentral:lncRNA from 11 species
GCCUUCCUCAUUCGGUGGCAAGCAAGCUCUCCAGUGGCUGGAGAGUGCGCACGCUGCCCGGAAGGUGGGCCCACGCCUUCCAGGCGGCGUGCGCCCCUUGCCCGCAGCCGCCGGCAGCACUCUCUUUCACCAUCAUCCCAGUGCCAUGCAUCUUAAAAAUGUUCCAGCUAGACAGAGGAAAAGGAUGAAAAUGGGGACUGGACAAUUAAAUGUAAAAAGGUACUAUGUCGGAUACUUUAUUAACGGAAGUGUUCCUGUAAAAUUGGGCAAAGAAGAUAGAAAAAAAUAACAGCAACUAAUAACUGAGUAUUUAUUGUAGUUAAACCCUUCUAUUUUACUUCAAACUGUCAUUGUAACAUGUAAACUAUGAUUUUUCAAACUAUAGUCUAUUAGUUUUGUGUUUUAAUUUUUGUACAAUGUAUUUUAAUUAUGUAUUUUAUAGUAAUGUGUUUUGACUGUGUUGUACACGCCUCGAU